rnacentral:rRNA from 1 species
AGUGAACGCUGGCGGUAGGCCUAACACAUGCAAGUCGAACGGCAGCACAGUAAGAGCUUGCUCUUACGGGUGGCGGGUGGCGGACGGGUGAGGAAUACAUCGGAAUCUACUUUUUCGUGGGGGAUAACGUAGGGAAACUUACGCUAAUACCGCAUACGACCUACGGGUGAAAGCAGGGGAUCUUCGGACCUUGCGCGAUUGAAUGAGCCGAGGUCGGAUUAGCUAGUUGGCGGGGUAAAGGCCCACCAAGGCGACGAUCCGUAGCUGGUCUGAGAGGAUGAUCAGCCACACUGGAACUGAGACACGGUCCAGACUCCUACGGGAGGCAGCAGUGGGGAAUAUUGGACAAUGGGCGCAAGCCUGAUCCAGCCAUACCGCGUGGGUGAAGAAGGCCUUCGGGUUGUAAAGCCCUUUUGUUGGGAAAGAAAAGCAGCAGGUUAAUACCCCGCUGUUCUGACGGUACCCAAAGAAUAAGCACCGGCUAACUUCGUG